rnacentral:lncRNA from 1 species
CAGUUUUGCUGGCUGUGCCCCCUCUGUGCAUCGGGGAAGGAGCAAGGCUGCUCUGCCAGAGGCGUUCCUGGCUGGCACUGCCCGUCCCUUGAAGCACCGCUCAUAAAGUUCUUUCUUUUGCUCGGAAACAGAGUGUGCUUCUGCUAGGGCAUGUCAAGAAGGCCCUUCAUCUGUUUUUGAGGGUCGUAUUUUGUAAGAAGCAAGAAACGUUUUGUUCUCUGAAGAGCAAACUUUACUUUCAUUUGACCGUGGUUCCAGUCGGGUUUGGCCAAAACAAGGAUCUCUGUUCUCAGCCAGGACCAACCGAGGUGGCAGAAGCUACAUUCCCCUUACCUUACCCCAGAGAAACC